rnacentral:rRNA from 1 species
UACAGAGGUCUCAAGCGUUGUUCGGAUUCAUUGGGCGUAAAGGGUGCGUAGGCGGCGCGGUAAGUCGGAUGUGAAAUCUCGGAGCUUAACUUCGAAACUGCAUUCGAUACUGCCGUGCUUGAGGACUGGAGAGGAGACUAGGAAUUUACGGUGUAGCGGUGAAAUGCGUAGAUAUCAGGAAGAACACCCGUGGCGAAGGCGGUUCUCUGGGACGGUACUGACGCUGAGACGCGAAAGCGUGGGGAGCGAACAGG